CCUGACCCUAGAGGCAUUGCAGGUGUGGCUGCUGUGUCACAUGUGUGUCAGUAGGUGGCAGAGAGGAGGGAGGCUACGUCUACUCUCAGUGUUCUGACCUGUGAACAUCUGAAUGAUUACUAGCCUAACAUU